CCAAUAGCGUAUAUUAAAGUUGUUGCAGUUAAAAAGCUCGUAGUUGAAUUUCGGGAUCAAUACGUCGGUCGUGCCUCUGGUAUGUACUGGUGUUAUUGAUUUCUCCCUUCUGAUGAACCAUGAUGUCAUUCAUUUGGUGUUGUGUGGAGUCAGGACUGUUACUUUGAAAAAAUUAGAGUGUUUAAAGCAGGCUCACGCUUGAAUAACUUAGCAUGGAAUAAUGAAAUAGGACGUUCGAUCCUAUUUUGUUGGUUUCUAGGAUCAACGUAAUGAUUAAUAGGGAUAGUUGGGGGCAUUAGUAUUCAAUUGUCAGAGGUGAAAUUCUUGGAUUUAUUGAAGACUAACUACUGCGAAAGCAUUUGCCAAGGAUGUUUUCAUUACUCAAGAACGAAAGUUAGGGGAUCGAAGACGAUCAGAUACCGUCGUAGUCUUAACCAUAAACUAUGCCGACUAGGGAUCGGAUGAUGUUAAUUUUUUAAUGACUCAUUAGGCGCCUUACG
rnacentral:rRNA from 1 species